AUUUAGCUGAUGUAUCCCAAACAAAACGAAACACACGUCAUGAAU
rfam:Schistosoma mansoni strain Puerto Rico chromosome 7, complete genome